rnacentral:rRNA from 1 species
GGGUCAGUACUUGGAUGGGAGACCUCCAGGGAACAUCA